rnacentral:rRNA from 2 species
GCCUUGAGCCGUGGCUUUCGGAGCUAACGCGUUAAGUAGACCGCCUGGGGAGUACGGUCGCAAGAUUAAAACUCAAAUGAAUUGACGGGGGCCCGCACAAGCGGUGGAGCAUGUGGUUUAAUUCGAUGCAACGCGAAGAACCUUACCUACUCUUGACAUCCAGAGAACUUUCCAGAGAUGGAUUGGUGCCUUCGGGAACUCUGAGACAGGUGCUGCAUGGCUGUCGUCAGCUCGUGUCGUGA